AGCAGCCGCGGUAAUUCCAGCUCCAAUAGCGUAUAUUAAAGUUGUUGCAGUUAAAAAGCUCGUAGUUGAAUUUCGGGAUUGACACAUCGGUCGUGCCUUAAGGGGUAUGAACUGGUGUAGUCAAUUUCUCACCUUCUGGAGAACCGCGAUGCCCUUAAUUGGGUGUCGCGGGGAACCAGGACCUUUACUUUGAAAAAAUUAGAGUGUUUAAAGCAGGCAUUUUGCUUGAAUACAUUAGCAUGGAAUAAUAAAAUAGGACGGCAUGAUUCUAUUUUGUUGGUUUCUAGGAUCACCGUAAUGAUUAAUAGGGAUAGUUGGGGGCAUUAGUAUUCAAUUGUCAGAGGUGAAAUUCUUGGAUUUAUUGAAGACUAACUACUGCGAAAGCAUUUGCCAAGGAUGUUUUCAUUAAUCAAGAACGAAAGUUAGGGGAUCGAAGACGAUCAGAUACCGUCGUAGUCUUAACCAUAAACUAUGCCGACUAGGAAUCAGACGAUGUUAAUU
rnacentral:misc_RNA from 1 species